ACCCUGGUGGCUUAGUGGUUAAGCGCUAUGGCUGCUAACCAAAAGGUUAGCAGUUCGAAUCUACCGGGGCU
rfam:Loxodonta africana unplaced genomic scaffold scaffold_3, whole genome shotgun sequence.